UACGAAGGGUGCAAGCGUUACUCGGAAUUACUGGGCGUAAAGCGUGCGUAGGUGGUUUGUUAAGUCUGAUGUGAAAGCCCGGGGCUUAACCCCGGAACUGCACCUCAAACUACACGGCUAGAGCAUUGGAGAGGGUAGCAGAAUUCGAUGGUGUAGCAGUGAAAUGCGUAGAGAUGUGGAGGAAUACCGAUGGCGAAGGCAGCCCCCUGGGAUAACACUGACGCUGAGACGCGAAGCGUGGGGAGCAACAGGAUAAGAAACCCUGGUAGUCCGAGACCAAGGAUCUCUC
rnacentral:rRNA from 1 species